rnacentral:lncRNA from 1 species
GGGCUACUUUUUUAUCAGUUAGUUGCCCCGCCUCUGUAGUUUUACCAGGAAUGGGGGGUAAAACUGGAAUUCCUGGAAUUCCUGGAAGGGGAGGGAGAGGAGGAAGUUGUGGCAAUGGUGGAAGAAAAGGGACUGUAGGAAGAGGAGAAAGAUCAGGUAUUGUGGAGUUUUGAGUUAGUUGCCCUGCCUCUGUAGUUUUACCAGGAAUGGGGGGUAAAACUGGAAUUCCUGGAAUUCCUGGAAGUCCUGGAAGGGGAGGGAGAGGAGGAAGUUGUGGCAAUGGUGGAAGAAAAGGGACUGUAGGAAGAGGAGAAAGAUCAGGUAUUGUGGAGGUUUGAGUUAGUUGCCCUGCCUCUGUAGUUUUACCAGGAAUGGGGGGUAAAACUGGAAUUCCUGGAAUUCCUGGAAGUCCUGGAAGGGGAGGGAGAGGAGGAAGUAGUGGCAAUGGUGGAAGAUAAGGGAGUGUAGGAAGAGAUGGAAGAUCAGGUAUUGUGGGGUUUUGAGUUGGUGGUGGAAAUGUGAGCUCAUCAGUUGGAGGAAAUGAGAAUUUCCGAGAACUGAAUUCCUUGGAGUUUUGAAUGCUUGGUUUUUGGUUACAUAGGCUUGGCUGCUUUAGAGGCUUAAAGGUGAAGAACCCAGCUGAGAAAAUGUGUGUUCCUUGCUUUCUUGACUUGAGAUGCAGUGAAGAUGAAGUGGCUAUUGAGGCCACAGCACAAUAUGGUUCACUGCUGCUGAUUAAUUUCACAGAACACCCUUCAAUUUUCUUGACAUGCUUGCUCACAGAGAAAGGCAGAUGAACUCUGAACACUCCAUGGCUAUCUGUUUUCACUUCUGUCUGGAAACUUGGUUUUGAACUCCCAUCUUUGCAUUCAACACCAACAGAAGCCCCUGCAGAAAAAAUAAGUUGAAAAAUAAGUCAACUGAACGCAAAAUUCACAGUAUAAAAAGCACUUUUUAAUUGAGUUGUUGUUGGAAAAUUUGAAAUGAACCUGAAAUGAAGUGGCUGGCAUGUGAGAAUUCUGCUUGGAAACAUGUGUCACAGUAGACAGUGCCUACAACAACUGCAGAUGGGGUCUUCUUCUCAUGGCUAGCUUCUGAGGGAGUACUUAGUGAGAGAGUACUGAUCAAAAAGAGUACUGUAAAAAACCAAGACAUUUUAGAGCAUCUAUUGCCUCUGAGCAACUCUAACUCUAAGAAUGAGUAGAUGUAGGUUGCCUUUUUAUAUAAAUUCCUGAGGCUUAUAGCUGAUAUAAAUAUUCUCUACAGCAUUCAUUAUACACUUUUUUUGUUUCUUUCUGGUUGUUUCGAGGCAUAAAAAAUGAACUUUUUUCUUCAAAUUUUAUAGCCUGCUGGGCCAUCAAGGUAAUUUAUUUCACUCAUGCAAAAACCAGUCAACUGCAAACUAGAAGAAGUGAAUGUAGGUUCAUUUCCUACCACCAAACAACCCAAAAAAGAAGGUUAAUACUGUGAUUGUGAGGUAGAUAUAAAGAGGCCCCUAACUUUUGCUUUGUUUGCUUACAUUUAUUGAGUUUGUUUCUUUGUUUGGUGUAAGAAUUCUAAAGAGAAUAGUUGGGUCCCCGUUGGUUCACGAGACAAGUGGAGUAACCACAAAUUUCAUGAGUCCGAAGCUGUACACUAUCAACAACACAGGUUGAAGAUGUUGUUGGGUUUAUUUAUGUAUGUUCUUCACACAGAAACAAAAUGAUGGGCGCCUACUAUGAGCUGCUCUCAGUAAUAUAUAUCUGUGCAAAUUGAAAAACUCCCCAAGUACCAAACAAAGUUUACAACUCAAUGUAUGGAUCAGAAUCUUAUUAAUAAGGCUUUUUGGUUCAGAAUGUUAUGAUAAUCAUUAGAUUCAUUUAUUACAAUUUGCUUUAAAUUUUCUAAUUGUUUUUAACAAGUCUUUUCAGUGCAGGUGAUCCAUAAAUAGGUAAAGUAAACAGUCAAGUGAUUGCAACCGAAGAGUCUUUUCCUCAGUCUUUUGACACAAAGUUUUCUGACAAAAAAUAAAUAAAUAAAAUUUAGAUUUUAGCAACAAAAAAAUUUUCACUUUUGAAAAAAUCUAAAAAAAUUUCGAAAAAGACAUAAAAACUCCUUAACUUUCAAACCAAAAGACAUGCAAAUAUAAAUGAUUCCUUUGGAAAUCCAAAAAUAAUAAGGGCAUUUUUGUCUAUUUUUGCUUAUUUUCAAAAUAUUUCUCUCUAUUUUGGCAUUUUCCAAAAUAUCCCCAAAAAAAAACGACAAAGUUUAGACAUCAUCAGCAAUUAUAAGUCACUUGAGCACAGAUGUAUAUUCAAUAAUUGGUUUGGUUCAAAAACUACCAAUCUACAUAGUACAAUGAUUGUGGGACUGAUUAUUGGGAAUUUGUGAGACUUAUUUUAGCAGAAAAUGGACAAUGCAUAUGGCAUGCAAUGAUCCAAACUCAAAACAAAGAAGCUACGACUUCCAAGUAUUUGAGCAAUUUCAAGCCAACUCAGAAAUCUCUGUACUCUGUAGGCUUAUAAGACACUCUCCCAUGUGUUGAUGUUGCAUACAGAUUCCCUUUGCAUCAAUAUCCUUCCAUUCCAACAGUCUGUUUUUUUUUUUUUCUUUUUUAAAUUCAAUUUUCCACAUUUUUUACUGUCCGUCAAAUGCAUAGCAUUUUGGGUGAAAAAGAAAAACAAGAACUUCUACUACUGACAAAAGAGACACCAGUCACACCACAGAGGCACAAACUCCAGAAUUAUGAUAAUUACAUCCUGCAUUGGAAAUUGACAGAUUGUCUUCACGUUCCCCACAGUUUUGCAUUGAGCUGCUAACAAUCCCACAAACUUGCACCGUUUCAUUCUUUGUCCGUGGGCCACAAUUUUUGACAAAUUUGACAAUCUAAUAAGGCGGUUCCUGACAAUCCAAGGUUAUCUCCAUGACAACCACAAGCCACUGUUUCACUGUUAUCUUGUGAGGAAAUUGAAAUGUAACACCAAAUUUUCUUUUACACAGUGCAAGAGAUAAUGCAUGUUAAAAGUUAAAAAAACAAAAGGGGGAUGUUUUUGUCUAAUUCUAUGAUGUACAAAACAUCUCUUUGUCCUUCACGGGUUCCAAAACACAAUGUCACCUCUUCACUUCACGGGCGACCUUAAGCCUGUGGGCUGAGGGCCUUCGUGUCUGCUUGUUGAAUGUGGAGUUUUUCAGCCGAUGGAUACCAUUCCCAAAUGGAUACGUCAAGCUUGAAACAUACGAUGAGAUUCUUGAUUAGAUCCUUGAUGGCUUGUCCAUUAUUAUUGAAUUGAAACAACAAAGUUUGAUUGGUAACAAGGUUUGCCAACUCGAAGGGUAAGAUUGUAGCCAAUCAACUAAACUUUUUAGUGUCAGGUGCAUCCACUGAAUGUAAGGUCUCAUAUUUGAUUUACAUAAAUACAAAGAUGAUAUUUAUUUGUGACGGGUGUAUAGCUUUGUUGUGGGUACGCUUCUCAUUGUAAAAGUAUAUUUGUAAUAACAUCAGUAAUUUUUUCUUUUGUAUUAAAUAACAUUAGACACCUCAUUCAUGCAGGGAAGUUCUUUUAUCACAUUGAAUGUAUAAUGUAUAGCAGCAAUUUUCAUCCGUACAAUAAUGUAAUCAUCAGCAUGUGAUAUUUCUGUUUGUUCUUCUAUCUGAGUUUGUAUUUAUUCCAGUCUGAAUGCUUGAUAUGGAGAAAGAAAGUACUUGAUGAGCCAUCUGUCCAUGAAAUCAUUGGUUUCUAAAACAGCAUAAUAUUUGUAGAACAAAACCAUAGAUUAAAUUGUUAGAUUUCUUUAUGCACAAACAAGAUCUUUCACACAAAACUGUAAUACGUAUAAAGACAUGAAGACAUAUCUGGAGCCAUUUUCCUUGAGUACACAGCUUCUAAACUCAUCCAAUCCGUAGCAGCAGCAAUCCUAGCAAGAAUAGGAAUGGCUCAAGACUUCUGCUCUCUCUCAGAAUCUGUUUCAGCUCUCUCUUUAUAAUGAGAAUAGGUUUAAAGAACGUGUCUGAUGAGAGCAGGGCCUUAAGCUUAUAUAGGGCUAGGUCAAGUCGUCUCUAUUCAUCACCUAGGGCUGACUUGACUAAUCUUCCAAGUCCACCAGAUUGGUUCACGCAUAAAUGGAAAUAAAUAGGACCCCUUAAUAGGCCUCAAAACCCUUCCUUAUUUCACUAAGUUUUGGGCCUCAAUGUACAACUUAAUUUAAACUUUUAUUAAAAUAUAAUAUAACUUAGUAUCUAGUACACCGAUCUAAAUAGGAAAACAUAACAUAAAUAAACCCAGCUGCAAGUUUGUAUAUUGGACUGGAGUGGUACCAUUUGCAGAACAAAACAAUGUGAUACAGCGCAAACUAUAUUGGCCAGUUUGCAGAUUCGAAGAAAUAAUGCAAAAUAAUCACAACCAUCAUCUGUAUGCAAAAACAAAAAAACAAAAACAAAAAAAAAACAAAAACAAAAAAAACAAAAAAAAAAAAAAAAAAGAAGAAGAAAGAAAGAACAAUCAACGAUGCUUGUCAUAAAAAACAACUGCAGAUGGGUGCUUCUUCUCAUGGCUAGCUUCAUGAGGGAGUACUUAGUGAGAGAGUACUGAUAAAAAAGAGAACUGUAAAAAACCAAGACAUUUUAAAGCUUCUAUUGCCUCUGAGCAACUCUAACUCUAAGAAUGGGUUGAUGUAGGUUGCCUUUUAUAUCAAUUGCUGAGGCUUAUAACUAAAAACUAAUAUAAAUAUUCUCCACAGCAAUCAUUAUAAUUUUGUUUCUUUCUGGUUGUUUUGAGGAAUGAAAAAUGAACUUUUAGUUUUUUUUUUUCUUUCAAAUUUUAUAGCCUUGCCCAUCAAUAGUUUCUUUAUUUCACUCAUGCAAAAACCAGUCAACUGCAAACUAGAAGAAGUGAAUGUAGGUUCAUUUCCUACCACCAAACAAUCCAAAAAUAAGGUAAAUAUUGUGAUUGUGACUGUGAGGUAGAUAAAAAGAGGCCCCUUAAUUUUUGCUUUGCUGGUUAUUUGUCUACUUAAAUUUAUUGAGUUUGUUUCUUUGUUGGCGUAAAUACUAAAGAGAAUAGUUGGUUCACAAGACAAGUGGGGUAACCACAAAAUUUCAUGAGUCUGAAGCGUUACACUAUCAACAACGUUGAAGAUGUUGUGUUUAUUUAUGUAUGUGCUUCACACAGAACCAAAAUGAUGGGGGCCUAUUAUAUUGGUUAGAAGUACAAAUAUAUAUCAUCUCUAUAAAAAAAUCACUUGAAUCCGAUAUCAUUUGACCACUCAAUUAAAUUAUUGAAAUUUAAGUACUUUCUUGAAGCACCAUGUUCAUUGAUUUUCUUGGUCUCAAUUAGAUGUCUUAAUGAUUUUCAAUUUGCGUGAUUUUUUGCAAGGAUGAUCUCUGAAUGAAGAUGUGAAAAAUAGAUCGUUUGGAUCGUUGAAAAAAAUUUCGCAGAGAAUCCUACACCCUCAAAAUAAAAUUAUUUGAGAAAUCCCUCAAUAGAAGGGGACUAUAUAAUCUGUGAAAAUUGAAAAACUCCCAAGUCCGAAACAAAGUUUACAACUUUCCAUGGUGUCAGAAUAUGUGGUUUGAGCAGAGCACGGGAUCUUCUCGUGACCUAAUGUGGCAUAUUAAUAGGGUUUUUGCUUGGAUUAAAAUAAUAGCAAUGUGAGACCUCCAAAUCUCAUGGAGGUUUUCUACUUCUAUGAGCAUAGAACAACCCCUGAAUCAUUAGAUUCAUCUAUUGCAAUUUGCUCUAAAAUUUCUAACUGUUUUUAACUGCAUAAAAAACAAGACUUUUUGUGCAGGUAGUCCAUAAAUAGGUAAAGUAAUUCCGGCCAAAUUAAAAGUGUCAUGUGAUUACAACCAAAGAGCCUUUUCGUCAGUUAUUUGGCACAAAGUUUAGAACCUUGUAUCACCACUAUCAGUAAUUAUGAGUAAUUUGAGCACAGCUGGGACAACAAUAAAACAAUGUAUAUUCAAUAAUGCAUCAGUGACAAUUGACUGCUAUGGAUAAUGGGUUUGGUGAAAUAAAAAACUACCAAUAUACUACAUACAACAAUGAUUUUGGGAUUUGAUUAUUUGGAAUUUGAGAGACUUACAUUUAGCAGAAAAUGCACAAGCAUAUGUGCGUUUACCCUAAACAUGUUCAAACCUCAGAGAUAGGCUUUAGAUUGUGUGAAUUGUGAACGUGCCACUAUUAGUGGUGUAAAACCCUAAUAGACUUGAAAGAGAAUUAAGUAACUUGCGCACCAAGAAAACUCACUGAAAUCAAAUAAUUGUGAAUUGAAAUGGUAAACUAAAUCAAAGUUUCUUUUCCAUGCCUCAAGACAAAUGACAACUUUAUAAUUUCUCUAAAACAAUAAGGGUAAUAAACAACAAAUAAACAAGUAAACAAAAGGGAUCCAGAUCAAGGGAUCUUAUUAGAUAAUAAAUUGCCACCACCUUGGAUCACUUCUGAUUGAAUUCAGAGGUUAAGGGUCUAGUGGCAAUAGCAGUAGUAUAUCACAUCACCUUCAAUUGAUGAAGAUCAAUUGGAAAUCGAUACCAGAGACAGAUCUGGCAGAGCAAUUAUCAAGAAAGAUAUAGCAUUUGAGAAGGAAUUAGGGUUUGUACUGAAUUUAUUGUUGAAAAGUUGUGUUUGUUAUCGUGAGCUAUCUAUUCCCUUUUAUAUGAAUUUUGACUUGGUGGAGAGAGAUUACAACCUAUGUCAUGCCAUCAUGAGGAUCAAAUCAUAAUCCAUUGGAAUUAAUUAUUUAGUUGAUUGCCUUAAUCGUCAAGUAAUAUCAUGAUUUCUCCUUGAUUUUCUAGGUAAUUAUCAAUUAAUAGAUAAUUCCCUUUCCCAGCCACUUAAACUGGCCCAAGGAAUCUUAACCGGAUUGCAAUACUAAAAUCCCCCCCAAAUUGGCUUAAAUCUCAUCUGUAUAAAAACUAGGCCUAAACAUUACCCCAUAAGCCCAAUAGACUUGAUUAGAGGGAUUUGGGGUUACAUGCAUGAGCGUGACACCAUGCGUCGUUUUCAUUUCAAUCACUUCAAUCGCGCCAUUUUGACUUCUACUUUAGUCUUUCGAACCUUUCUAUCUUCUUCUCACUACGAAGCCUAGAGAUUCUUAGCGAUUAUCGAUACCUUCAACUUUUCCAAACUUUUGUUACCGAAAGUCUCAAGUUUCACCACCCCCUAACCAAUUCUCGUUUCAGAAACCAUUUCUUUGUCUCAAUGGCCACCUCUGACUCCAACGUCCCAAAGCCUAUCUCUGAAAAAUAUGCUAUUAUAUAUGCAUGCCCAAGACAUUUGUGCAUAAUUGGGUAAAGUUGCUGAUGAUGGUCCAACGCUCGUACAAUUUAACUGAGCGUCCAGACUUCAACACUGGGUCCAUAAAGAACAGUCUACUGCAAAGGUUUGAGUGGAUUGGCGAUCUUCAUGACCAGUAUCCGGAGCUUUGGGAAAAGCAUCGCAUUUACGAUGCCAUUAUGCUUUUUCGUUUUGACACUUCGAGGGGUAUUUGUUCUCAACAUAUGCAGGGGAUCUUUCUCAAGCACAUGAGAAAGUCUACUCAUUAGAUCAUUUUAGUAGCAAUAAUAUUGUAGGGCUUUUUCGUUCUGGCAGCUAUAGAUUAGUCUGGGCUACUGUAAAGAGUAAAUUGGAGAAAACUCCCCAUGUGUCUAAGUUCAAGAAUAAGACCCCAAAAGUGCUUCGAAAGGGUAGCUAAGCCUUAGAAAACACCUUGGUCUUCUUCACCAAUGAAACCAACAGUUGCUUACAAAUAAAUGCUUGGCUUGGCUUGAGAAGCUUGUGGCAUGGAAGCUAAGCAUUCAUGAGUUUAGCAAGAGAGAGAGAGAGAGAGAGAGAGAGAGACCAUAUUUUCUACGAGAAACACAGGUUUAAAGCAAAGGAUUUCAUGAGAAUUUGCUGAGGAGACAAGAUUUUUGGGAGCUCAAAAGUCUUCUUGCAACUGUUCCAGUGGUAACCUCUCAUCUAUGGUUAUCACUUCUCCUUCUUUCCUCCCAUAUUUCAUGGCAAGAGCUGAUAAAGGAAGAAAAUAGAUAGCAACGUUGGUCUGAAGGAUGUCUUUUCUCCUAGCAACCUGCUGGCGCUAAUACCCUUUGGUCAUUUGAAUGGUUUGUCUUGAGGUUUGCACCUGGUCACGUGCUAGAGCCUCACAGCAGCCUACAUAUGUGAGUCAUUCCUUGGCUUUUUGUUGUGGUUUUGUCUCCAACCAUGUGCUGGAGACUUUCAAAUAUUUUUUUUGAUCAUUUGGGCCUUCCUAAGGUAAUGGGUUUGUCUACUAGGGAAUGGGCCAACUUCACAAAGUGAUAGACUACUUUUAUUAAGGUGAUGGGUCAAUUUUCUAAAGUGGUGGGCUCUCUUUUUCUCUCAUUUAUGCUUACCCAGAUAUUUGGACUCAAGAAAUGGGCUCGAGUUUUGGGGCUCCCAAGCAAUCUAAAACUUCAAUUUCUCGGCUCAUCAAUGGGCCUCAUGAAUGCUCGUUACCAUCCAUACUACAACCCACUCAGCAAGCCCCGAACAUUUGCAUGGCUUGGGCCUACUUAAGCUUAUAGCAUGGCUAUGUGUAAUAAUGAUUUUCUGCUUGGCAUUGCAUGUUGAUUGGCGUGCCUGAAUUUUAUCGUCUUUGAAAAGGGAUAUGAUGCUUGACGGGAGAAUUAGCAUGGGCUUGUAGAGCUAGUGCCUUUUAUGGGCUCAUUUCAAUUCUUAGCGUGACGGAUUGCAUAUUUAUUUCGCAUGGCACGUGGAUCGUGGCUCUUGCAAGCAUGCAUGACGAAUUUCGCAUACUCCAAACCGAGUCUCUUCUUAAUUAGGUGUCGCACUGGACCAGGAAUUUAUUUGGACCUCAAGUUACAUACACGAUUUUUUUUUUCUUCACAUGGGUCAUUUUAGUAGUUGUGAUAACUUAAUAGUAUAUCUUCCUAUGUUAAAAUUAUAUACAUGGGAUUUUUCUCAUGCGCGUGAGAGAUUUAGGUCCCAUAUCAUUUUAUUGUGAACUCUUUAUUGAAUAUCCUCCCAUUCGCAAUUUAUGCGCAUUUUCUCAAGCUCAUGAAAGAUUCUGGUGAUUAGAUUACUUAAUGGAACAAUGAACUUAUGAUAACAUUUGUCAUGCAUAUACAUGCGCGCAUGAGAGUAUUGUCAUAGUAUCUAUACAUGCCCCAUUCUUAUCAUCUUCUCUGCUUGAUCUGGAAAUAUUAUCUAUGAUUCGCUAACACGACACGAAUUCACAAGAAAAAAUCAAUAUUUGGGUUUAGCUUGGACUCGUUAGCCACCCAUUAAGCUAAUAGGUCAUAUCAGUAUCAUUCACGAAUAUUCGCUAACGGGUUGUGUUGGUCAUUCACGAAUUUAAACAGGUCAUGUCCGUGUUUGGUAUUUUCCACCCGUUAACUUAACGGGUCGUGUUCAUAUCAACUCGUUAAGAAAGUGGGUCAACACAAACACAACAAUAUAUUUGGUCCAAGUGCUAUGGGUAUAGCAAUGCUGCAUUGAUCCUAAGCUUUUUUAUUUUUUGUUUGGACGGAUGAUGCUAAGCUUAAUGAGUGCAAUAUAUUUUGCUAAAUAUAUAUGAGCUCAAGAAACUCCGAAUUAUGGUGCAGCACCCAACACCUUUAGAACAUUACAAAAGGGACCAACAAAGCUUAACAAGCCUCAUGAAACACUGUGACUGCAAACAAAUCAACUGGGUCAUUUAGGCCCAGUCCCCAAACAAAGUUCUUUCCCUAAUCAUAUUUACGAAUGGAAGUUGAAAGUUGAAGCCACUCAUUUAUUUCACAUGCAAUUUAAUUUGUGCUCUCAUAUUAAUUAUUUAAGCACUAAUUUUAUGCGCAUUUGGUAUUUGAGGUUGAUAAUUUAGUGGUGCUGAUGGACAAGUCUUAACUGUGUGUGUGUUUUGCAGAAGUACAGGCUCAACAGCAGGGGCGCCCAACCAGCAGCUUCUGCCAACAGUUCGCAGAGGGCAGCCCUGUUUUACUACAGGGACAUGUGGAACCCUAGCGCUUCUGAGCAGUCAAACUCUCGGCAGCAGCAGCUCGAAAGUGCAAGGAAUGGUGGAGAUGGCUCUUCAGUUGGUGGCUCUAGCAGAACCAGAAUUGAAAAAAUCAAAGAGUUAGGUUAGAUGAUGUUUAGUUAUGCAUCUGCUGAGAUUUUGCAUAUGUGUAUAUGAGGGCAUGUAUAGCAAAAGAUUAGGAUUCAGGAAAUAAUCAGAACCUGAAAGUUGUUUAUAAUUUCUUCUUUCUUUUUUGGGUCUCAAAAGUUGUUUAAUUUCAUGUUGAAUUGUAGCUGUGAUGCAUUUUUUGUUUUUGUUUUUGCUUUUUGGGUUUCAAUUUCUGCCCAAAUUGGUGCAGUUUAAGUUCUAAAAUUUCCAUUUUCAUGGACUUGUGUUUCCCAAGCAAACUGGUCUAAGAAGAACAAUUCAAUUUUAGCAUGAAGAAGCAAUUUUUUCUUCUUCUUCUCGAAGGGUCUUUUUGAUUGGACAAUGUUGAAAUGCAGCUCCAAAUUCAGCAAUUCAGGUAUAAUUCUACAGAGGGAGUUCAUAAUUAAUGCAAACAGUGGCACAAAAUCUCAGAAUAUAUUGGGAUUUUUUACUAAGUAAAUGAAGUCUGUCAGAUGAUGAGAGAACCAUAGCUUUAUUCCAAGUACAAUAACUUACAUACUCCUUACAAAGUACAAACUUACAAGCCCUACUACAUAUGCUUCUGAUAAUUGCACACCCCAUACAAACUUAACAUGAUUUAUUUAGUUAAUGAUUUCAGUUUAAUAUCAAGGAGAAGUAGUUUGCUUUGAAGAAGCCCGUGGGAUUCCAGGAAUGCGAGAUGUUGGUGGUGAUGGAUUUGGAGGCAAACUUGUUUUUGGAAUUUGUGGUGUUGUGAAGGAAGUAUCUGGGCGAGCUACUUUUUUAUCAUUUAGUUGCCCUGCCUUUCCUAGUCCUGGAAGUCCAGGAAGUCCUGGGAGUCCUGGAAGUCCCGGAAGUCCUGGAAGUCCCGGAAGUCCUGGAAGUCCCGGCAGUCCCGGAAGUCCUGGCAGUCCCGGAAGUCCUAAUAAUUUUUUGUCAGUUAGUUGCCCUCCCUUUGUAUUUUUACCAGUAAAGGGGGUUAAUUGUGGAAUUCCUGGAAGUCCUGGGAGUCCUGGAAGUCCUGUUCCUGGGAGUCCUGGAAGUCCUACUUUUUUAUCAGUUAGUUGCCCUGCCUUCGUAGUUUUACCAGGAAAGGGGGAUGUAACUGGAAUUCCUGGAAAUGAAGAUUUCUGAGAACUGAAUUCCUUGGAGUUUGGAAUGCUUGGUUUUUGGUUACAGAGGCUUGGCUGCUUUAGAGGCUUGAAGGUGAAGAAACCAGCUGAGAAUAUAUAUGUUCCUUGCUCACUUGACUUGAGAUGCAGUGAAGAUGAAGUGGCUGUUGAGGACACAGCACAAUAUGGUUCACUGCUGCUGAUUAAUUUCACAGAACACCCUUCAAUUUUCUUGACACGCUUGCUCACAGAGAAAGGCAAAUGGACUCUGAACACUCCAUGGCUAUCUGUUUUCACUUCUGUCUGGAAACUUGGUUUUGAACUCCCAUCUUUGCAUUCUACACCAACAGAAGCCCCUGCAGAAAAAUAAGUUGAAAUUAAGUUAACUGAACCCAAAAUUCACAAUAUAAAAAGCACUUUUGAUUGAGUUGUAGGAAAUUUGAAAUGAACCUGAAAUGAAGUGGCUGGCAUGUGAGAAUUCGGCUUGGAAACAUGUGUCACAGUAGACAGUGCCUACAACAACUGCAGAUGGGGGCUUCUUCUCAUGGCUAGCUUCUGAGGGAGUAGUCAAUGAGAGAGAACUGAUCAAAAAGAGUAGUGUAAAAAACCAAGACAUGUUAGAGCCUCUAUUGCCUCUGAGCAACUCUAAUAUUCUUGACUCUGAGAAUGAGUUGAUCUAGGCUGCCUUUUAUAUCAAUUGCUGAGGCUUAUAACGAAUAUAAAUACUCUCUACAGUAUUCACUAUACACUUUCUGAAAAAUGAAACUUUUUCUUCAAAUUUUACGACAUGACGCAUUAAGCUUCUUUAUUUCACCCAUGCAAAAAGCCAGUCAACCGCAAACUAGAAGAAGUGAAUGUAGGUUCAUAUCCUACCACCAAACAAUCCAAAAAGAAGGUUAAUAUUGUGAUGGAGAGGUAGAUAAGAAGAAAUAUUUGCUUUGCUGGUUCUUUGUUUACUUACAUUUAUUGAGUUUGUUUCUUUGUUAGUGGUGUUGAGUUGUGGAGAUACAAUUCAACUAGGAAAAGGAUGUGUUUCCUUUUGUUUGGUUUUCUUCUUGGUUUUAGAUUGGCAAAGAGUCACUUUUGGUUCAUGUGGUUUAUCACUUUAUCACUAAAAUCCCUGUGGUUUCAAUUUGAUCACUUUUGCCCGUGUGCUUUCAAUUUGAAACAAUUCAAGGACAAUUCUCAACUUAUGUCAAGUUUUCGUUAACUUCAGAUAUUUGUGGAGGGGCAAUUUGGUCUACAAAUUAUUUAAAAAAUUCAUUCCUUUUAAAAAUAAAAUAUUAAAAACCAAUAAAUAAAUAAAACAAGAAGAACAGCCAAAUACAUAGUAUGGUAACCCAAAUACGCCCUCGAAUACAUGGUGAGCACAGCCAAAGCCCAAGGCAAAAAAUUCACAGCCAACUUGUUCUUUGUGUCCCAGAGUCCAAUCCCUUUAUACGUUAAGAGGGUGAAGUAGAUAUAUAGCAAAGAAGAACAUGUACUGAGAGUGGCUCGAAGGCCAUCCAUGCAAAAUCACACAAGCUCAAGAAACACUGAGUUUCUUUAUUUGGGAAGAAACCUAAAGGCAUGGAACAAAAGGAAUGAGAUGAAGACAACUGUUGAAUUGAUGGCAACUCUAUCCAGGAUGUAUGAGAAGCCAUGUGCGAUGCGACAAUUGUAUUUGAUGAAGUGCUCAUUUAAACUGAAGAUUUGACCGAGUCAUUUGAGAAGAUUUGACCCUUAAAAUUGAUUUUUUUUUGCAUUUAUCUCGAGUUUUAUGUCUCAUUACGACUCAAACAAGCUCGUCAUUACAACUUAAAGGAUCUUAUAGUAAUUGGUUGAUCCUAUUUCAAAAUAAAACUAAGUUAUUUGAUAAGAUUUGACCCCUAAAAUUGAUGCUUAGCAAAGGCAAUUGAAAAAUAGAUAAUUUUUUUUUUGUUAGAAAUAUAUAUAUGUGAAAAUUGAAAAACUCCCAAGCCCAAACAAAGUUUACAACUUUCCAUGGUGUCAGAAUAUAUAUGUUGUUUGAGCAGAGCAUGGCAUCUUCUCAAGACCUAAUGUGGCAUAUUAAUACCCUAAUAAGGGUUUAUUUUAAUUUAAUAUCCCAAAUUUUUACUCUUAAGGCAUGUUUGUUCCUACACUCUUAAUUUUAAUGAUUACAUACCCUAAGCUUUUGAAUUUUGCAAUCUAGUUCCGACAUUAACUUCCCUAUCAAAAUUUUUGUUAAUUGCUUGCAUGGCAAGCGUGGAUCUCACCUAUUCGCUUAUUUCGAUGUCAGUUGAAGAGUGUUUUCGGGUAAUUGGUGUCUUCCCGCCCAUGAAGAACACAUUACAUGCACUAAUACCAAACCAUUUUUGAACAAAUACUGGAAAAUACCCUUCAACUAACAUUCAAAUGAGUGAAUAGGUGGAACCUAGGAUUGCCACGCAAGCAAUUAACGAAAAUUUUGACGGUGAAGUUAACGACGGAUCUAGAUUGCAAAAAAUUGAAAAACUUAGAGUAUGUAAUUGUUAAAAUUGAGAGUGCAUGAGUAAACGUAGCUUUAGGAUAAAAGUUCAGAGUAGUAAAUUGAAAUUAACCAUAUUAAUAAGGCUUGUGUUAAAGUAAUAGCAAUGUGAGACCUCCAAAUCUCAGGGAGGUCUUCUAGUUCUAUGAGGACACUCCCCUGAAUCCAUGAAUAGGUAAAGUAAUUCCGGCCAAAUUAAAGAGUCAUGUGACUGCAACCAAAGAGUCUUUUCCUCAGUUGUUGACAGUCUAGAAAAUUUGCAUCAUCUCAUCAGCAAACAGAUGAACAUUCAAUAAUUCAUCAGUGAAAAUUGGGAGCUAUAAUAAUGCGUUUGGUUCAAAAAGUACCAAUCUACAUAGAACAAUGAUCUUGGGAUUUGAUAUUUGGAAUUUGGAAGACUUAUUUUAGCUGAAAAUGGACAAGCAUACGCAUCCAAUGAUCCAGACCUGAAACAAAAAGAAGCUACAACUUCCAAGUAUUUGAGCGCUUUCCAGCCAACUAAGGAAUCUCUGUACUCUGUACGCUCAUAAGAUAAGACACUCCCAUGUGUUGAUGUUGCAUCCAGAUUCCUUUUGCAGCAAUGUAUAUGUCCUUCCAUCCCAACAGUCUGUUUUUUUUUUUUUUCCUUUCUUUCUUUAAUUCAAUUUUCAACAGUUUUUACUGUCCAGCUGCAUAGCAUCUUGGGUGAAAAAGAGAAAAUAAAAUUAACUUCUACUGACAAAAGAUACACCAGUCACACCACAAAACAAAGGCACAAACUCCAGAUUAAGAUAAUUAGAUCUUGACAGAUUGCCUUCACCAAUUGAUUACCUUGUGACCAAGGCAAUCCCACAAACUUACACCGUUUCAUUCUUUGUCCGUGGGCCACAAUUUUUGACAAAUUUGACAAUCUAAUAAGGUGGUUACUGACGGUUCAAGGUUAUCUUGUGAGGGAAUUGAAAUGUAACACCAAAUUUUCUUUUACGCAGUGCAAGAGAUAAUGCAUGUUAAAAGUUAAAAAAAAAUGAUUGUUUUUUCGAAUUCUAUGAUGUAGGUUUUGCCCUAGGGUUUAGGGUUCCAAAAAACCUGUCAUGUCUACACUUCACGGGCGAGCUUAAGCCUGACGAGUGUCGACAGGACUUUCAUGGCUGCUUGUUGAAUGUUCUAUAGUGGAGUUUGCCAGCUGAUGGAUACCAAUUCCCAAAGCUUGAAACAUAAGAUAACAUUGUUUAUUAGAUUUUAUUUUUAAUAUCUGGUUCAUUAUUAUUGAAACAAUAAUAAUCCUUAGUUUAGAUAGGUAAAUUAUCCCAAACAAGGUUGCCGACUCAAACGUUAAAAUUGUAGCCGAUGAACUAGACUUUAGUUUAGCGUUAGGUGUAUCUCUUGAGUGUGAGGUGGACAUUAAUUUGACCGAACUAAUGAAAUCGACUAAAUCAAACUGUAAUAUUGGUUUGGUUUUAAUUAAGAAAAAGUUAAAUUGUUUAAAAAUCAAACCAGAUCGUGUAUGGUUUGAUUUUGUUUGAUUUUGAACUCUUAUAAACCGACCUAAAUCAAAUCAGACUGUUUAUGUGUAUAUUUAUUUACUUAGAUUUUACAUGUGUAAACUCUAAUUAGAUAAUACCUAUAUAGUUAUUGAAAUUUGAAGUUUUAUGUCAUCUGUCCAUCAAGUACUUUCUUUCUCCAUAUGAGCGUUAUGAUUACAUAUGAAUUGAGUUAUAUUAGUUAUUAAAAUUUGAAGUUUUAUGGCAUUGAAAUUCCCAAAUGGAUAUGCCAAGCUUGAAACAUAAGAUAACAUUGUUUAUUAGAUUUUAUCUUUGAUGUCUAGUCCAUUAUUAUUGAAACAAUAAUAAUCCUUUGUUUAGAUAUGUAAACUAUCCCAAACAAGGUUGCUGACUCAAUCGUUAAGAUUGUAGCCGAUGAACUAGACUUUGGUUUAGUGUUAGGUGUAUCCAUUGAGGUAAGGUGAGCAUCAAUCCAGCCGAACUGAUAAAACCGACUGAAUCAAACUGUAAUUAGCCAUUUGGUUUUGUUUUGAUCAAGAAAAAGUUAAAUGAAAUCAAACCGAAUCGUAUAUGGUUUGUUUGGUUUUGUUUUGAACUUUUGUAAACUGACAUAAACCAAACCGAGCUGUUUAUGUGUAUAUUUAUUUACUUAUAUUUUACAUGUGUAAUACUCUAAUUAGGUAAUACCUAUAGUUAUUGAAAUUUGUUGUAUUAGUUAUUGAAAUGUGAAGUUUUAUGUCAUCUGUCCAUCAAGUACUUUCUUUCUCCAUAUGAGCAUUAUGAUUACAUGUGAAUUGAGUUAUAUUAGUUAUUAAAAUUCGAAAUUUUGAUGGCAUUGAAAUUCCCAAAUGGAUAUGCCAAGCUUGAAACAUAAGAUAACAUUGUUUAUUAGAUUUUAUCUUUGAUGUCUGGUCCAUUAUUAUAGAAACAAUAAUAAUCCAUAGUUUAGAUAUGUAAACUAUCUCAAACAAGGUUGCUGACUCAAUCGUUAAGAUUGUAGCCGAUGAACUAGACUUUGGUUUAGUGUUAGGUGUAUCUAUUGAGGUAAGGUGAGCAUCAAUCCAGCCGAACUGAUAAAACCGACUGAAUCAAACUGUAAUUAGCCAUUUUGUUUUGUUUUGAUCAAGAAAAAGUUAAAUGAAAUCAAACCGAAUCGUAUAUGGUUUGAUUUGGUUUUGUUUUGAACUUUUGUAAACUGACAUAAACCAAAUUGAGCUGUUUAUGUGUAUAUUUAUUUACUUAUAUUUUACAUGUGUAAUACUCUAAUUAGGUGAUACCUAUAGUUAUUGAAAUUUGUUAUAUUAGUUAUUGAAAUUUGAAGUUUUAUGUCAUCUGUCCAUCAAGUACUUUAUUUCUCCGUAUGAGCAUUAUGAUUACAUGUGAAUUGAGCUAUAUUAGUUAUUAAAAUUCGAAAUUUUAUGGCAUUGAAAUUCCCAAAUGGAUAUGCCAAGCUUGAAACAUAAGAUAACAUUGUUUAUUAGAUUUUAUCUUUGACGUCUGGUCCAUUAUUAUUGAAACAAUAAUAACCAAUAGUUUAGAUAGGUAAACUAUCCCAAACAAGGAUGCCGACUCAAACGUUAAGAUUAUAGCUGAUGAACUAGACUUUGGUUUAGUGUUUGGUGUAUUCAUUGACUGUAGGUGUGCAUCAGUCCUGCCGAACUAAUAAAACCAAUUGAAUCAAAUUGUAAUUAUCAGUUUAGUGUGUUUUUCAUUAAGAAAAAAGUAAUUUUAAAAAAAUCAAACCGGAUCAUAUAUGGUUUGAUUUGGUUUGGUUUCGAACUUUUGUAAACCAACUUAAACCAAACCAAACUGUUUAUUUGUAUUUUUAUUUACUUAUAUUUUACAUGUGUAAUACUCUAAUUAGGUAAUACCUAUAUAGUUAUUGAAAUUUGUUAUAUUAGUUAUUAAAAUUUGAAGUUUUAUGUCAUAUAUCCAUCAAGUACUUUCUUUCUCCAUAUUAGCAAUAUGAUUACAUGUGAAUUGAGUUAUAUUAGUUAUUGAAGUUUGAAGUUUUAUGGCAUGUUGAGCUUUAGGACGGUUUCGUACUCUAGAAAAUGAUUUAAAUAUGGAGCAAGUUGUGAAUUUAUUGGCUGUAAUUGGACUAACAAUAUUGAAAAAAUGCAAAAAAAAAAAGAGAUUUGGGCUUAGGCCCAAACUGGCCGAACCGUCUUAAAUUGGUUUGGAUUGAUUUAAUUUUCUUCAUGACUUUUGUCAAAAUCAAACCAAAACAAACCAUUAUAUUGUAAUUGGUUCAGUCGUGAUUUUGAGGUGAAACCGAUUUAAUCCAGAUCGUGCCCACCUUAAGUGUAAAGUCUCAUACGUGACUUACAUAAACACGAGGAUGAUAUAUAUUUGUGAUGAGUGCAUAGCUUCGUUGUGGGUAAAUUACCUGUCGUAAAAGUAUAUUUGUAAACAACAUUUUUAUUACACCCCAUUCAUGCAGGAAACAUUUUGAUCACAUUGAAUGUAUAAUGUACAUCAGCAAUUUUCAUAUAAUGUAAUCAUCAGCAUGUGAUAUUUCUGUUUGUUCUUCCAUCUGAUCUGAGUUUGUAUUUAUUCUAGUCUGCAUGCUCAUAUGGAGAAAGAAAGUACUUGAUGAGUCAUCUGUCCAUGCAAUUAUUGGUUUCUUGACCAGCAUAAUAAUAGUACCAAACAAUAGAUUAAACCCAACUGCAAGUUUGUAUAUUGCACUGGAGUGGCACCAUUUGCAGAACAAAACAAUGUGAUACAGCGCAAAAUAUAUUGAGAGAUCAGUUGCAAAUUCGAAGAAACAAUGCAAAAUAAUCACAAGCACCAUCUGCAUAUGCAUCUGUAUGAAAAAAGAAAAGAAAAAAAGAAAAAAAAAAGAACAGAAAGAACCAUCAACGAUGCUCGUCAUCAAGCUGCCCUUUCAUUCAAUAAGACCAAGUCACAUUCGGACUACAAAUGAAAUCUCUACAGUUCAAAUCACUCUUCCAUUUUCGGGGAUCAAUCAAUCCUCGAGGGAAUACCCACCAAAAAACCAAGCUACAAAGUUUAUGAUACAACACAUCCUUGCUAUUCUGUACAAAAAGUUAUUUGGAAAAGUUAAAAAAAUCUGGUCUUCCGGUAUAACAAACUUAAAAGCAACUAAAAUCAGGACCAGAUCCUUCCUGCCUGGCUACCCUCCUCUCUUCUCUUCUCCUCAAACCGUAAUAUAGAAGUGAUAUCCUCAGUAUAUGCUUCCAUUUGCUAACUGUACCCCGUACACGUAUUGCCUGCCGGUUAUGUUGGUUAUUUAUAUGGUCAUUGAAAUGGCAAAUGACAUGGGAAAACCAGGGAGAUCCCAAGAAAAUCUUGCUUCCCGAGUACUCGAAUAAUAUUCACAAGUGCUCUUGAUCAUAAAAUGCAAGGAGCUGCUUCACAUGAUUAUGCCAAGCAGCAACAUUUAAUCCAUCAACUAGGACCCAGUCAACAACAGUUGCUGCUGGUUGCUCCCACCAUUCAUCAAGCUGCAGAAACAUAUUGCAGUUCAGACAAUUAAAGAGUGCAAAGGCAAAACAAAACUAUUAAGAAUUUAUACAGCUAAAGUAGAAAGAUGAUGGUGGUCACUCACCAAUCCCCUAACAUAGUUGCAAUCCUCCAAGCACUUCUGAGCACUCAAAAUUGCAACCUUAAGUUCGGGCAACCAUUUCUCCAUGACAGUUUUCUCUUGCUCCGCAGCCAAAUUUAAGCAAUAACUUGUUGUCCUGCAAGGAGUAAAUAAAAAUUAAGAAAAGCACAUUCAUUACGAACAUUAACAUUUAAAAACAGAAAGUAGCAGAGCUAUGAGAGGCUUGAGUAUUGGCAGGAGAUUAGAAGAAAGAAAAAAAAAUGUAAAUGUAUUUAGAAUUUGGAUGAAAAAAAAAAAUUCAUAACAUCUAACAAAACAUAUGAAUCUCAAAAGAAAAAAGAAAAAAUCGCUCCAAUAGAAAGGCAUGGUUCUGUAGUCAAAGAAACUUUGUCAGUUACCCAUCGGACACAGAUAUUGGAAUUUUCCUCAUCUCUUGCUCAAAAUGGAAUUCCAGUUCAUAUUGUUUGACUAGGGUCUACUUACUGAAACUUUGGAGUUUGGAGGAUUACAUAAUCUAGAUUCCUGUUAAAACAAGGCCAAGAGAGGUUAUACCUUUCAUAUUCUUGUUGAGCUCUAUACGCAUGGUUCAACAACACAUGACCACUUUCAACAAGAUCCUGCCGUGUAUGGACCAAAUUGAUUGCCUUUGCUAAGUCCUCCAACACACUAGCCUCAGAACCACGAAGUUUCAAGCAGAACUCCAGGGACUCUAGGAUUGAUGCUAAAGCAGUAUCUGAACCCUCCAAACCUGUUCAUGUUAAAUAAGAUAUAAAAAAAGAAUUGAAAACACCCAUUAAGCGGGCACAAAAUGGCAUCCACAUAAUCCAAAAGUAAACAAUGAGAUAAUUAAAAAUACCAUAUGAAAAAAAACGCAUAUGGGAGCAUUUGUUAAACUCAAGCUAGACAAACUUGAAAUUAUGAAGCAAAUGUAGAAAGACAAACCGAUAGCUUUACAUUAUGGAGUUACAAGUGACAUGUAUGGAUAAUGAGAGAGCACAAUUUCAUGAUUCAUUAGACGCCAAUUUAAUUAGAGUUCUAUUUUCAUUCUCAAACCCAAACUCCUUCAUACCAGGAAAGAGUGGCUACAAAAGAUGAUUUCUUAUCAUGACACGCUAUUUCACCCACCACAGGGAAGAGAGAUCAAUUUUCAGUGUCCUACUUGGGAUUAAAAUUAAACAGAACAAAAAUCUUCCAGGCCAUCAUGUAACAGCAUCUCCACCCCAGCAGAAAAUCUAACCCUUCGGUGGACUUGUCCAAUUAAUUGCUAUACUGACGUUUUUUGUUUUUCUUGUAAGUGUAAUUGACAAACCAUUACAUACACAACUAAAAAAUGAAGGCAAAAGAGAUCUUCUGUUGCCAAUAGAGAGAAGCUUUCUGGCAGAAACUGGCCAGAUGGAGAGGAUCUAGUUCUCCCAAAACCAAGCCUCAAAUGGAGGCAGUGGCAUCUAAUCUUACACAUGCUUCUAAUGUUGUACCAGAUGACCGAAGACUCACCAGCAGGAUACUGAAGGGCAGCAGAUAUUCGACAUAUGGACGGUAUUGCUGAUGGAUCCCUGGCACCUGCUUUUGCAGUUAAUAUAGCAGCAUUCUUUUCUGCAGCUGCAACAGCUUCAGGUCCAGUAGACCCACUUGCACCCAUGGACUCCAGUAGUGCCUGAUAAAAAAUUCAUUAACAGUUAUAUACACAGAAGAAUGCAAAUGGGAUAACAAAAUCAAGGGUGGGAGUGCACUGAGGAUAAUUAAAUCAAGGGUACUUAGGUAGCUCCCCAGUGAAAGCAGUAUUUCCCUGGUGGUCUAAUCCUACUUUACCACCAGACUAGUCCAGUUCUGCUCAACAUAAAGCACCUCUUAAUUUGUUUUCCUUUAUGAGUAUACAAUUCGAAAUAUAGUGUAGGUUUAUUUUUACUUCUUUUUACUUCAUUAACAGUUAUAUACACAGAAGAGUGCAAAUGGGAUAACAAAAUCAAGGGUGGGAGUGCACUGAGGAUAAUUAAAUCAAGGGUACUUAGGUAGCUCCCCAGUGAAAGCAGUAUUUCCCUGGUGGUCUAAUCCUACUUUACCACCAGACUAGUCCAGUUCUGCUCAACAUAAAGCACCUCUUAAUUUGUUUUCCUUUAUGAGUAUACAAUUCGAAAUAUAGUGUAGGUUUCUUUUUACUUCUUUUGGGGCAAGCCCAAGCUUGACAUUCAAACUUCAAGAUCUCUCUCUCUCUCUCUCUCUCUCUCUCUCUCUCUCUCCAUUAUGUUCCAACGCCUUUCCCCACCAUACACAGUGUCCAGAAAACAGAUCCAGAAGGCGAACAUGAAAAGAUAUAAUGUAUUUUCAAGCCAAAGAACAUUCAAAAAAACUUCUGAAUAACCGAGACCUUAAACAUAUUACAGCAGUCAUAUAUGUUGAAUAUCAUAGUCAAAUUAACUAAUUAAAACUUGAUAAUGGAAAGAAACAGAUUUAUUAACUUUUACUUCUUUUUUUUUUAGAACCAAACAUAUUGAUCAGUAGAACGAUCAAUAACCAAGAAUAUUUAAUAACGAUAAAGCCACAAAUUGUAGUAGACAAACCUGUGGAGUUGCUGGAAGCAUGUAGAGGCUAUUAUCAGGACUUUGAUCAAAAGCAGAAACUUCUCUUUCAAUAAGAUCUUUUGCACUAUUUGAAAGAUCCAUAACUAUUGUGCAUGCUGGAAUAAUAGUGGUUGAUGCAUACUCCCGUGCGGCUAAUGGCUGCUGAUUCCAGAACGCAGCGGCAUCCUGCCAAGUUUACAAUAUAAUAUUAGAAAGUAUCUAUGACAAAAGGUGAUGGAGAAGUAGUAUCCUAGCUGCCUUUAUUGAAGUAUAUAUGAAUACCAACUGAAAACUAUGCCACUGGUGAUAUCAUUUGUGUAUCAGUUCCAAGGAAAUUGAAGUGCCUCAUGGUGAGCUAAAAGCCCAGACCUAUAGGCAUAAAUAGGAUCUUUGGGCAUCAUGAUAAAUAUGGCACAAAAGUGGGUACUGAAAUUUUAUUAAAUAAAAAAAAAGUCCAUCAACUCGUUGGGGUGACAUAAAAAAAUUUCUUCGAUAUUUUAUAUGAUAUAUAUGAACUUUCAUAUGGAACUCAAAACAGAAUGAGCCGACAAUUUCAUGGAAUGACCAGAAAUGGACAAUACAGUACCAUUAUAUGAAGUGACUUGCAGUUUUACAGGCAUUAAUGAAGCUGAGAUAGCUUACCAUGUUUACUUUUAGUAGAGCACUGUAUAUGAUUUCAAGUUCCGAUCUGCGGGAAUCAAAUUCUUCAAUCUUUUUCCACUUCUUUUUCAAUGAAUCUUCAGCUUCUUUCCUUUCUGCACAUAAUUUAUUUAAGCGUUGUAUUUCAGACAUCAGCGUAUUCAAGCUAGCCCUCAAGCCAGCAACUUCUCUUUCCUUGGUCCAAACCUCCAGCUACAAAAAUAAUAGGGAAAAAUGGUAAAAACAACACACCAAAUGAUAAUUAACUACAUACCAGAAAUAAGCUACCAUAGAGUACCCAAAUGACUUUUUAUGACAUUCAAAUCAACAAGGAUCAAAAUACUGAAACUAAUCACACCUCUCAUCAUUGGCACUAUUUGCACCUAAAGUAUUGCUAAUUUAGCCAUUUAAUAUCCAAGAAAGAUUUACCUCAAGUUGCCUAAGACUGCCCACAUUUUGUGAUGUGCCUGAAGAAACUGCGUCACUAUUUCCAUGCAAGCGUUUUAUAAGUUUUUGACACAGAUCCCUAGCUUCUGCAGCUUUGUUCAGUGCAUCUUCAGUAGCCAAAAAUUGCUGAACAUGUGCUUUCUGUGAACAACAUAUGCAAAAUAACAAUUUUAAACUCCUGAAACAAUGCAUGAUUCGUAAGACAAAACAAAAGCAGAAAAUGUAAGGUGAAAAUAGAACCCAACUAUGAUUUCGUUUAUUGACCAAAAAAUCUAUGCUUCAGUAUAAAAAAAGAAUGGUCUUAAUGGAAUUAGGGUUUCGGCGGACUAUUCUUUAUAGGGGAAAACACAUUAAAGAAAAAGUAAGAGUAAUGUAUAUCCAUGUAGUGAAAAAAUGAGAAUAUUAAGAUGAAUGGCAUAAGUGACUAGAUCAUAAUUAAAAAUCAAUGUCAAGGCUACUAUCUAGAAAAGAACAUAACCUGUCGUUCAAGAAGUUGAGUUCCUCUAGAAGGUGCAUCAACUCCUAUCUUUCCAUUACCAUAAAGUUGAUAGUGUAACGGUGAACUCACAUCAGGAGAAGAAACAUCGAUAACUCGGUUGUUCUCAUACUUGUACCUGAUUAAGGAAUUGAAGAAACGUGAAUCAAGGAUAUGGAGAAGAUAUGAGAAUUCAAAUACAAGAAUGAUCAAAUUUGAAAAUACAGCAUGCAAUUAUUAUUUAAUCAAGCACUGCAACUAUUCCUGAUAAGAGAGGGAGGGGAGACCAUAUUAUCCACAAGUAUUGACUCAGGAAAUAUUAAAUUAAAAAACCAAGAAGGAAUAUCGUAGUUGAAUAGCCUUGCCUGUAGAAGCUUAGGGAAACAUUGACAGCACAUAAGAAAUGUGAAGGACAAAAUGAAAUAAGCUUUAUGUCCCCAACAGAAGUGACAAGAAAGUGUUUACCUUAAAGUUUCUGCAUCAGCUCUAACAUCAAUUUUCUCUAUUUCUCUGGAAAUUAGAGAUUUCAACCGUGACGUGUAUGAAGUAAUUGCCUGAAGCAAUUGAGGAGGACUCUUUAACCCAUUCACAAUCGCAGCUCUAACCUCAUCAGGUAAUUCCCCAUCAAAAUCAAAGCCUAACUUGGCUGUUUCUAAUUGAGGAUUCAAAUGAACACCACUUCCUUCAUAUGCAGGAAAAGAAUUGCGAAUCUUUUCAAUCAUAUGUGCUGCAAGAGAUUCACAGGCCUUCCGGAUGUUUCUUUCCCGAGUGGUUUCAAUAAGAAGUACAUCAUCUGCUGCUUUACUGCCCUUAAGAGUUGAAUAAACAGCUUCCUUUUCACUGCUUGAACUAAAGCUGUUAACCAAUUCAAGAGAUGAAUCAACACCUGACCUUUGAGCAUCCCUUGCUUGAUUAACAUAAUAACGAAGACGUUUAUGAUACUCUGCAAAUAUCUUUUCCGCUUCAUCACACUGUUGAUAGUAAGCAUCCAACAUUACCUGCUUAUGCCUGCAUUAUGAUCAAGCAUAUAUCAAUAGAGUCCACCUUGAAUGACUCGGAACAAGUGUUAGUCUCAUCAGAACAUGCUUCACAUCAUUUUUAGCUUAUGAAACUAUUCUCAAACAAACCUUGCAAAGAGGAAUAACAUAGCGCCGACACUCUAAACCAGUCAUAUAGUUCAUGUCUUUCUGAUAACGAUGUUGAUCACAUAUAAGAAUUUUGCAAACUUUCUUUCAGAAUUUCAGAAAGAAAACAAAACAAGUUUUCAACUGAAUUAAAUUAUAUACUCAGGAUUAUGCCAAUGAUCCACAAAAGCCCAAACCUUUUUUUAGAGCGUUCAUCAAGCAUCCUCUUCCGUUCGGCCUCUGCCCUUGAAACCUCCAACAUUCUGGCCUUCAAAUCCUUCCUUUGUCUCUUCACAAUGUUCCUCAACUUCUCCACUUCCUUUGACGCCAAGUCCCUCUCUUGCAGCGCAGCCUCCCUAGUCUCUGCCGCACUCGAACCCUCCCCAAGCUUCUCCUUUCUCCUACCUCCUUUACUCCUUACGCCCUCCUCCUUCCCCGAUUUUACCAAUGCACCACUAUCGCCGCCACCGCUGCCGCCGCCAUGAACAGUUAUAUUCCUCCGGAUAUUCUUCACCGUAUUCUCCGACUUCACGCGGGUAAUCAAGAAAUUCCAAAUGGGUAUCAUAUUCCCCCGGCAAAUCUUCCUCAGCGAGUCGAUUGAGGGCAAUUGAGAUUUGCUAGCAGCACUGUACGGACCCAAGGGCCGGUACCCCAUUUCCUUCUGAAGCCAUUGCAAUAUGGCUUCCGGCUGAGCCACAGAGCUCUGCGACGAGCCCUGCAUUCUUUUAGGCUUUUAGGUCUCUUCAGAAAAAGAAGAGUUUUGGGAACUAAAUCACCAUCCUGCGGUGAAUAAUAAAAACCCUAAUUUCUGCACACUAACGGACUGAGAUUGGAGCUCAAACUACUUCAAAAGCCUAACACUGACACUGAGGUCUGCUCCGAGUGUGAGAAUUUAGGGUUUCGAAUUGCGAAAAUUGGAGAGGAACAACUAGAUCUGAGGGGUCGCCGGCGAAGAAAUAUAUUCAAAUUGAGAAAUGCAAUGCAAAGUAAUACAACGGUAAUUUGACCUUAAGAGGCAAGCAAGGCAACGAGAAAAAGUCUGUCGUUUAUUCAAAUCGGCACUACAAUUUAUUAACCGGUUUAAUGCUUCAAAACGACAUGCGGUGAUGUGUGAAGUUUUUGGUCAUAGAUUAAUUAAGCUGGGACACUUAACCAAAAAUAUUAAAAAAUAAAUGUUUGGUGUUUGGUGUUUGGUGCUUGUCAGGGGUAGUUUUGUGUUUGUCCAUUUCUAUUUCCUGUGAAUAUUUCUGGUUGAAACUAUCAUUUGUAUAAUUAUGAACUUUGAAGCAAUAUGACCAAUUUUGCAGUGGGUUUGUUGUAUGAAACAUAAAUUAAAGAUUUCGUAAUAACUUGUAGCUCAAGCGAUUAAAAUUAAUUUUUAAUUUACACUUCAUUUAAUAUCUUUUGCACGAAAAUUUUAUAUUUUUUUCUUCCUUUUAAGCUCUGUCGGCAGCAUACUAAUUGUAGGAAGAAUGCCAUACAAGGCCGACGUGAGAAGCAAGUCUGAUCUUUUAUAGACCAUCACAAUAGUUUCCACUAUGGUCAUCAAGAACUAUUGCCCCAACCCUACUAAAAAGGGAAAUUGCCAAAAUUGGCACUGUAGCAUUCUUCAUACCAUUGUCGUUUUUGUUGGUUUUCAAUGAGUUUUUAUAUUUAUUUUUGUCAAAAUUAAGAAAGAGAGAGAGAAACUCACACACACCGUUAUUAUGGAAGUUGUUAUAUUUAUUUUUAUACAAGAAAUAUUGAAUGAAUAAAACUAAACACAAGAUUUACCACAACUAAUAAAAAUGAUGAUUUGAUAUCUCAGGUUUGAAUCCUCAUGACAUCAUAAUUGUGUGUGUGUGAGAAAUCCCCUUCCUCCUAGACUUUUUUAAAAGAAAGUGAUCGAAUUGCAUUCAAGUAGAAUAAUGAAUUAUACGGCAUAUGCAUGCCUAAGGUAGCCUCAUUAAAACCUUCUCAGGAAAAACCCCAAAGGACAAAACUCCGGAAUAAAAAAGAGUACCACACAUACCAAAGAUAUAGCAAAACCACAAGAUCAAAUAGAAUCCUGAAUAAGAGUAUCAAGGAGCCAAAAAAGAGGAGACUCCAUCCAGCUAAACGGUCAGCCACACUAUUCGCCUCUCGAAAAACAUGCACAACACAGACAAGUACAUUAUCAUGCAAAAGCAGUUUACAGUCUUCGAUCAAGCAACCAAGGGAGGAGAGAUCCACAUCACGAUAGAGAACAGAAAGAACCAUCCCUUGUGCGUCGCUCUCAAGACCAAGAAAAAAAAUAUAUAUGAUAAUUGUACUAAGAACCCUCCCUCUAAUUUAGACUAUGACUUGUACUAAAAAAAGUUUAUAUAUGAUAAUAGUAUCAUUAAGAAUUUCUUUUUAAAAAUAUAGAAUUAUUAACAUCCUUAAUUAAGGUUUGUCCAAUAAAAAACCAACAUCAAUAUAGAAUUUAUAUUUUAUAUUUUGUUGGGGAUUGGGUUGCGACAUCAUCUUUCUCUUCUUUUUUUUUGGUCGAGGUUGCGACAUCAUCAUUAAAGUUAAAUUCGAUUGUUUAUGGAAUUAAAAUAGGAUAGAUUCUUCCACCCACUGUCAGGAGAAAGAUUAAGGUGUGACUUUAAAAUUCCGCGCAUUCAUAGCUUUUAUCACCGCAAAAUCCAAGAGCUAAUUUGCAAAUUCGAAAUCCCCCAUAUUUAGUAUCCGAUUUUCGAAGCAUAUAUUUAUUCAAACAUCCAAUCCAAAAUUCUACUCAGUUUCCGAUUCCUCGGCGUCCCUGUCUUUGUCCACCCACCAAGAUCAAUCUCUAUCUCUCUCUCCUUCCAGUUUUGUCCCACCUAUCUCAGGUACUUUUUCUUUUCUUUCUCUUUCUUAUGUGAUUGUUUAAAUUAUUGGUCUUUUGCAGUAUUUUGAAUCUUCUGAUUGCAUCAGAAUUGAAUUGAUAUCUGCAAAGGGGUUAGAUUUUAUUUAUUUGUUUUUGCUGAUGAUGGUUUUUAUUCUUUGAACAUUCUGGUUGUAGCAAAAUUUGAUAUUUGCAACAGGGUUUUGUUUUGUGAACCUUCUGAUGAUCCAAAAUUUGAUAUAUUCAAAAGGGUCUGUUUUAUUACAUUGAUUUAUGUGUUUUUCUAGAUUGAUCUAUUACUUUUGAUCUUUAAAAUUGGGAUAAUUGCAUGUUUUCCUUUCCCUAUUCUGUUAUUUUAUUUUCUGGAAAUUUUGAAUGGACUGACUUGACCUUCAAUCUCUGGGCAGCUUGUCAACAAAGUAGCAUAUUACGAUAACCACCUGUAAUUUCUAUGGAUUUUAUGCUGGUUGAUAUGCCUUUCUUCCUCACCACCAUUCGGGAGGAAGGGCGAGAAUAAGGGGAAAUUUAAAUUUACUGGCUUUUAUAACAGAUGAGGGGAAAUUGUAUCUUAAAACAUCCCUGUUGUGAAACUUCAUAAUCACAACUAUUUUCUCAAAUUUUUCAUGUUUCUCCGAAUAUUUUGAAGACAUAUUCAACUCCAUAGGAGUCAUGGUAUUACAGCUGCAACUAGUGAGGUGCCUGCAUAUUUCCCAGGGAGUAUGACAAUGAUAAAUUGAAUCGCUUCAAAACUAUGAUCUCUCUGUACCAUUAAAGUAGUUGACACGCAUUGCAUGUGUGCAUGUGUUUUCUGCUUUAGUUCUAGUAGAUCUGUUUAGAGGACAACUCUCUUGAGUAUUAGCCUUUUCCCUUGUCAAUAUUGUUGUUUGAAACUUACACAUGACUGUCUUCUAUUUCACAGGUGAAGAAUAUAACCCUAAGUUAUAUCAGAGCCACAAAGGCGUCCAACAUUGUUAGAUAAAAGAGGGAGGGUACUGGUCCGCGGAGGCAGUGGGACUUCUGCGAGCUUUGUGUCCUCUCUCGUACUUGUCAAAGUACAAUAAUUGCUCCUAGAGAUCUUUUGCUUAAUGCACAAGUGGAGCUUGAUUGGUUUCGGCUGAUGAGAGUGGGGAACUGUUGUGGAGGUUUAUUUUUAAGCUGACGUAAUGGGUUCUGUUUGUUGUUGUUUGAAUGCUGAGGAUUUUGAAGACUAUGUGAAUCCAAACAGUUCUGCAUAUAGGAACUGUAUCUGUCUUAGUUGCUUUAUUGAGAACUUUCUAAAUGUGGUAUGCCUUCAUCAUCCUUGCUACUGAACUAGUUAAUUUUUUUAUGCAUUACUAUUAGUUGUUAUGAUGUGGGACAUAAUUCUAUGUUUCCUGUUUGGUAGAUGAUCUUGAUGUUCUGCUUCUCUUGUCACACUGUCAAGCUGAUUGCUUUUAUGUAUGAAAUUGAAUUUUCUUUUCAACCUCAUUACCAAUAUCUUAUGGAACUGUAUGCCAAAGAGCAUUAUUAUUGGUAAUUUUGCUGGAGACAGUGCUGCUUUUGUGCCCUCACUGAUCUGCUAUUGUCUUGUAAGUCUUCACUGAGAGCAUCUUAUAUAGAUUGUGAGACAAUGAGAGAGAAGAAUUUCUUGUUUUUUUUGAUUUUAAGAGAAGAGUUUUCAUUAUUAAGCUUGACUGUUAGAACUUUAAAAAGUGUUUGCAUGAUUGGGGUUUGUGUGUGGGCACUUAUGAGUCUUCCUUUAAAGGUUAGUGAUUUGGUUAUAUUCUUCUGGAAAGCAAAGGUUUAUGCAGUUGCUUUGAGUAAGAGAUUUGGCCUGUAAAACAGUUCAGCAAGAGAUUGAGUUAAUUCCAUAAAUUACAAUUUUAAUAUUAAUCGUGAAAACUUAAACUUUACGAUGGAAGAAUAACCCUUUAUCUUCUCGUAUUUUGUAGUAUACAUCAUUAUUCAGAAGAGGAGAAGUGCAUUCAAUCCCAUCAUCCAUUCAGGGGGCUGCAUCAAUGACGUCCUCAGCAUCACUAGACAACUCUAUAUCUGACAUGUAUCGUUCUCCUCCAAGGCCCUUGCCUUAUGAUGCUGACCCCAGAUACAUCCGCUUGCAACGGGAUGGGUUGAUUUCUAGGCGUGAGAAAGGCUCAAGUCAUUCUCAUGAGGAGGCCGAACCUCUAAGAAGUGAUACUGAUGCAGAUUCUGAAUGUUUGAGUACAGGAGAAAAAUGGAAUGGGUCUGCUUGUGAAGAUGGAGUAAAAGAACAUCGUUCCAAGUCCUCAAUGAAGUUCUCAUCAGCAAAAGCUACAACCAUAGUUGGGAACUUUUAUAUAUCAUCAGAAGACGAGGAUGUCUGUCCAACAUGUCUUGAAGGUAUUUUUAUUUGGGUUUUUUUUAUUGGUGUUUCUUCUUCUUUCUCACCUUGUGCGUCUGAUGGUCAUUUCCACUUCAUACUACUUAACAUGAAUGAUGACCCAGUCCUGUUUUCAUUCUGUUAAUUGCAAAUGUUUGUUUGCUGAAUUGAAUCAACUGUCCUGUUCAUGUUAUCUUUGCUUUGCUCCCCCAAAAAUAUUGUGCCCCUUCAGUAAACUGGACCUGAAGCUAGAAGGGAAGGGUCGGGUAGUGAGAUGCAGCAUUCACGCCAAAUGCUAGCUUUGUUAGGAAAUAAGACUUGAACACUUACGUCAAUUUGUAACGUUUGUGGCAACUUUGAUUGGUUUAUGAUUCUGAAAAUGUACCCUGAUGGUUUAUAACGUCUGAAAUAUGAAUUCUCAUGUUUUUUUCGUUGCCCUUGUGUGCAGAAUAUACUCCAGAAAAUCCCAAAAUAAUGACAAAAUGCUCUCAUCAUUUUCACCUUGGUUGUAUAUAUGAGUGGAUGGAGAGAAGUGAAAGCUGCCCUGUUUGUGGCAAGGUAACAAUAAUUCUCUUACUUUUUAUGUUUUCUUAGUUAAUAUUUCGUUUAUAGUGAUGAUAAUCUUUAGGUAGGCUCAGCUUUUAGUUUUAUGUCCCAAUAUUUCUGAAAUUUUAGAUUAGUGUUAUUUUGUUAUUAUUAUUAUUAGAAUAGUUCUUCCUUUGUCUUUACUAUAGUCCUAUACAUGUUUGGUAUUUUACAACUAAUGGAUUGAUAAUUUUUCUGAUCUACAUUCAAGUGAAGAUUAGUUUAAUUUAAAGCAAGACUCUUUUUUACUGCAAUGUGGAUUUUGACUCUGGAUUUUAUUUGUUUGGCUUUUGUAGGUGAUGGUAUUCGAUGAAACGACUUAAUCACGAUUGAAAGGUUUGUGUCGUUGAUGAAGCCAACAACAGCUGAAGAGAGAGCAUACUAAAGAAGUGAUGCCAUUGUGAAUACCACAUGUCAAAAAGUGUCAUUGAUCAUAGUACAUAUAAACUUCGUUUCUGAUGACCAUUGUUGUAAGUUCAUUUUAUUCCAUAUAAUUUUUCUAUGAAAAGAAAUUUAUGUGGUAGUUCUUGCCUUGCUAUGUUCUCUGAACAGUAAUUGCCUUUUGUGAUGUAGAAAAGUGAUUUAUAGUUAAUUUUUCACUUCCCUCAGAACCCAUCAAACUCUCACACCUCUCAUCUCUUCUUUGCACAUUCUCUCCCUUCAUGGUCUCUCUUAAACACCAGUCUUCAUCUUUCCAUUCAACAAAGAUUUGCUAUAAGCCCAACUUUUACAACGUUAUAAAUCUCGUAUUAGAAAGGAAAGACUGAACAACAUUGUCCUAAUUAUUUGUCUCAAUAACACAAGGAUUGAGAUAUGUCUGCGUAUUUGCCCAUACAAUAUAUGUAAAAGCAGGAUAAAAAGUUAUACACAUUAGGAUAGUUGUAUCGAGAU